AGGCAAAGCACAUGGGCUGUGGAU
rnacentral:piRNA from 1 species